CGGGACGGGUGAGUAACGCGUGGGUAACUACCCUGUACACACAGAUAACAUACCGAAAGGUAUGCUAAUACGGGAUAAUAUAUUUGAGAGGCAUCUCUUGAAUAUCAAAGGUGAGCCAGUACAGGAUGGACCCGCGUCUGAUUAGCUAGUUGGUAAGGUAACGGCUUACCAAGGCGACGAUCAGUAGCCGACCUGAGAGGGUGAUCGGCCACAUUGGAACUGAGACACGGUCCAA
rnacentral:rRNA from 1 species